GGGUUCGAUUCUGGCUCAGAUUGAACGCUGGCGGCAGGCCUAACACAUGCAAGUCGAAACGGUAACAGGAAGAAGCUUGCUUCUUUGCUGACGAGUGGCGGACGGGUGAGUAAUGUCUGGGAAACUGCCUGAUGGAGGGGGAUAACUACUGGAAACGGUAGCUAAUACCGCAUAACGUCGCAAGACCAAAGAGGGGGACCUUCGGGCCUCUUGCCAUCGGAUGUGCCCAGAUGGGAUUAGCUUGUUGGUGGGGUAACGGCUCACCAAGGCGACGAUCCCUAGCUGGUCUGAGAGGAUGACCAGCCACACUGGAACUGAGACACGGUCCAGACUCCUACGGGAGGCAGCAGUGGGGAAUAUUGCACAAGUGGGCGCAAGCCUGAUGCAGCCAUGCCCGCGUGUAUGAAGAAGGCCUUCGGGUUAGUAAAGUACUUUCAGCGGGGGGAAGGGAGUAAAGUUAAUACCUUUGCUCAUUGACGUUACCCGCAGAAGAAGCACCGGCUAACUCCGUGCCAGCCGCUGC
rnacentral:rRNA from 1 species